rnacentral:rRNA from 1 species
GACGGAGGAGGCAAGCGCUGUCCGGCAUUAUUGGGCGUAAAGGGUACGUGGGCGGCUGGUCGAGACUGGGGUCAAAGGCCACAGCUCAACUGUGGGAAGGCCCUGGAAACUGACCGGCUAGAGUGAGGUAGGGGUUGCGGGAAUUCCCGGUGUAGCGGUGAAAUGCGUAGAGAUCGCGAAGAACACCUGAGGCGGAAGCGAGCACCUGGGCCUCAACUGACGCUGAGGUACGAAAGAUAGGGGAGCGAAUGGG